GAUCAUGGCUCAGGACGAACGCUGGCGGCGUGCUUAACACAUGCAAGUCGAACGAAGAGCGAUGGAAGCUUGCUUCUAUCAAUCUUAGUGGCGAACGGGUGAGUAACGCGUAAUCAACCUGCCCCUUAGAGGGGGACAACAGUUGGAAACGACUGCUAAUACCGCAUACGAUCCAAUCUCGGCAUCGAGGAUGGAUGAAAGGUGGCCUCUAUUUAUAAGCUACCACUGAAGGAGGGG
rnacentral:rRNA from 1 species